CGGAGCCUUGCCCGCUCCCCACACUGUGUGAGUCCCAGGGACAAGUUUCUGGAGGGGAGUAUUAGUGACUUUUUUUCACUGCUGUAACCGAAUACCUCAAAGGGAUGAACUCAGGGGCAGGGGCAUUUCUUUGGACUCUGGGCUUGCACAGAAGUUCCCUACCUGAGAGAGGCUCAGAAUGAAACUCCUUGGGACUCUAAAGCUCCAUGUAAAAAGUCAGGCGCUCAAGAGACUGACGGAGGACAUCAUUAGGUCAAGGUCAGCCUGGACUGUAUAGCAAAACCCUGUCUGCCAAGAGAUGAAGAGAUGGAGAGAUGGCUCAGUGGUUAAGGGCACUGACUGCUCUUUCUGAGGACCCAGGUUUGAUUCCAAGCACCCACAUGGUAGUUCAUAACUGUCUAUAACUCCAAGAACUGACACCCUCACACAGACAUACAUGCAGGCAAAACACUAAUGCACAUGUCUUAGUCGGGGUUUCUGUUCCUGCACAAACAUCAUGACCAAGAAACAAGUUGGGGAGGAAAGGGUUUAUUCAGCUUACAUUUCCACAUUGCUGUUCAUCACCAAAGGAAGUCAGGACUGGAACUCAAUUGGGUCAGG
rnacentral:lncRNA from 1 species